UAAUACGUAGGUGGCAAGCGUUGUCCGGAUUUAUUGGGUUUAAAGGGUGCGUAGGCGGCUCUAUAAGUCAGUGCUGAAAUAUCCCGGCUUAACCGGGAGGGUGGCAUUGAUACUGUAGAGCUUGAGUGGAGUCGAGGUAGGCGGAAUUGACGGUGUAGCGGUGAAAUGCUUAGAUAUCGUCAAGAACACCAAUAGUGUAGACAGCUUACUAGGCUUUAACUGACGCUGAGGCACGAAAGUGUGGGGAUCAAACAGGAUUAGAUACCCUGGUAGUCCACACUGUAAACGUUGAUGACUCGCUGUGUGCGAUACACUGUACGCGGCUGAGAGAAAUCGUUAAGUCAUCCACCUGGGGAGUACGCCGGCAACGGUG
rnacentral:rRNA from 1 species